GGGCUGUCCUGGUCCAGGAAAAACUUGAGCUGACAGACCAGAGCUGGGCAUAGGCACUGCUAGCUACUGAUGCCACUCAAACUUAAAGUGAGAGUUUGGAAUCCAAGAGUACCACUAGUGAAACAGCUCCUGGUUGCACCCAGUUGUGGGAACCAACUACCAUCAGUGCUUCCAUCUUUCUCAUUACUGCCUUGGCGCAGUGAUUCAGCCCCUGUACAGUUUCACCUUACUCAGAUGGAAUAAAGAGAUAGAACUAGGUGUCAUAGGAUCAUAGAAUUGCAGAGUUAAAAGGGCCCCAAGUGUCAUCUGGUCCAACCCUCUGCUAAUAGGAAUCUCAACUAGAUCAUAUCCAACCUCAGCUUAAAAAUCUCCAAGGAAGGAGAGUCCAUCACUGUGGGAGUCUGUUCCACUCUUGAACAGAUCUUACUGCCAGAAAGAUCUUCCUGAUAUUUAAUCGGAAUCUCCUUUCUUGUAACUUGAAUCCAUUGGUUUGGCUCCAAGCCAUCGGAGCAGGAGAAAACAAGUUUGUUCCAUCCUACACAUGACAGCCCUUUAAAUAUUUGACCAUGGCUAUCUUAUCUCCUCUCAGUCUCAUCUUUUCCAGACUAAACAUACUCAGCUCCCUCAACAAUUCCUCAUAAGGCUUGAUAAUCUUGGUUGCCUUCCUUUGCGCACAUUCCAGUUUGUCAAUAUCCUUCUUCAAUUGUGGUGCAGGUGCCCAGAACUGGACAUUCCAGGUGUUGUCUGACCAAGACAGAAUAGAGCGGGACUAUUACUUCCUUUAAUCAGGAUACUACUGUUGAUGCAGCCUGCAAUAGCACUAGCUUUUUUUGCUGCUGCAUCUCACUGUUGACUAAUAUUAAACGUUGGUCAACUACGAUCCCUAGAUUCUUUUCACGUGUACUUCUGGCAAGCCUGAUGUUCCCCAUUUUAUAUUUGUGCAGCUGGUUCUCCCUGCCUAAGGGACAUUUGUCCCUAUUGGAAUUCAUUUUAUUAGUUUGGACCCAGUUCUCUAAUAUUGGACCCAGUUCAUUUUGAAUCUCGUUUCUGUCUUCAGUGGCAUUGGCUGCUUCUCCCAUGUUUGGUGUGAUAUGCAAAUUAGAUGAACACCCCCUUAAUAUCUCUGUCCAAGUUGUUUAUAAAGAUGUUGAACAGCAAUGGGAGCAAGACAGAAUCCUGUGGCACUCCAUUUGUUGCUUUUUUCCAGAAUGACAAGGGACCAAUAGUGAGCAUCCUUUGUCAUAUGCAUAUUGGUGACGCCAAGCCCCAAAUGCCCAGAUGACCUACCCCAGAAUCAUCACAUAGGUUUCUGUGUGUGGGGCUUUAUAAGAUCAUUAAAUCCAGAUUCAAAAAUUACUAUACUGCACCAAAUGUGUUAAUGCGAGGAAGCAGCUGUAAGGCAGAGUAGUAGGCCAGACUUCCAUGCAAAGGUUGCUGCUAGGAGGCACAUAAGAUCAAGACAGGCCUUGCAUUUAAGACUGGAAUAUUGAUUUAUUAACAAUAGGAACACUCCUUUACAUGUUCAUGAGUGUUUCUACUGUAUACUACAUUAUUUGGAUGAGUGCCACAGACAGUGCCUGACCUCUAGUGGUCAGUGGAAAUAGUAGUUGAAAUAAAUAUAGUUUUCAUUGUGUUGUACAAAUCACACACUUUGAAUUCCAACAGUGUUUUCUGAUCAGACUACAUUUGCCUGAUUAAAAUCAUUAUUUUCUCCAUAGUUUGACGCAAAAAAUGCCAAUCACAUGUUUAAUUAUUUCCCCAUUUGCGAAGGAUUUUUUUUUUAAAAAAACACACACAAACAACUGGAAAUUAUUGGAUCCUUCUUUUGAGACUGUAACUGGGAUGGGGAAACUUUUUCCAGCCUGAGAGCCUUAUUCCCUCCUUGGCAACCUUCCAGGGGCCACAUACCAGUGGGAGGCAAGCCCAGAAGCAAAAAUGGAGUGGGCUAACUAAUGUAAACCUUUGCCUUGUACAGUAAGCCACACUAUUCAGAGUUUUCUGCACAUGACAUCUCUCCAUCCUCUAUCCAGAGAAGCAAGAGGAAGUAUUACAGUUUCCAAACUCAUUCUAGCCAAGCAAAAGAACUUGUGAACAUUGUAUUAUUUCGAAACCAGACUGUGGUCUCUAAGCCCUGAAACCUCCUUCCUGAGAUGAAGAAGUGUAUGUUUUUUGUUCUGGUUUUUAGAAAAGUUGUAUAAUGUUGCUAUUGUUCCAGCAGGCAUUUGCCGGAUAUGUGCUUUUUUUUUGGGAUGUUAUCCUGUGGUUUAUUUAUAAUAUCUCAUUUUGUUAUUCUAUCUACUGGCUUUUUAAGAACAAAACAGCAAAUCUGUCUGUCUGUCUGUCUGUCUGUCUGUCUGUCUCUCUCUCUCUGUGGAGUAUACAAAGUAUUCUGGGCCAUUAGUUGCAUGUGUAACAUGAAUCCAUGUAGCCAGGGAGGGGCAGACACAAAUCUAGACUAUGUGCUCAGGCAUUCUGUUCCCCAUUAAGUAUCCUAGAACAUGCUAGGAGCGCAAAGAGUCUGGGCUCACUAAACUCUAUGGCAGUCCAGUUGUCCAUAAAUACGGCAACUCUGCUAGUAUGGAUUGUGCCUUUAACUUUAGAUAUUUCUUUUCUCUGUAGCAGCCAAAGCUUUGCACCAGGCUCCAGACGCUGCAGGGUUUCAUGCUAGGGCAGUCAGUCAGUUUGCAAUGGGCACCCAUUCCCAUGUGCUGCAUCUGGCUGUGAUCCUACAGAAAUGGAGAGUGCAACACGGAAAGAGAGCUCGUCUUUACUAUUUGUCGUUUGCAUAUGUGGAAGCUAAGAGAGAAGGCCAGUUCCCAAAGGUCCAAGGAUUCUGUGGCUGAUGUGGAAUUUAAAUUCCUUUCUGUAAAUUUCAAGUUCCAGAGAAUCCAAGAAGCAGAGACCACUCAAGACAGGGCUUGGGAACCUUUGGCCCUCUGGACAUUGUUGGACCCCAAGUCCUGUCAGUCCCAGCCAGAAUGGCCAGUAAUCAGGGAUGGUAUAAAAACAUCUGGAGGGUCAUGGAUUCCCCACCUUACAUAAGGAGCAUACCAGGCUUACACUGAAAAUAAUGUGCAUUAUUACGUGCCAUCAACUUUGAAUUGAAAACAAUGUAUGAGAUGAUUUAGAUCAUAAACAAGUUUCAUGCUUGUUUCCUGGAGUUUGGGGUGAAGGUGUAUGCAGGCCUCAUAGUGUGACAUGCUUUUUACCUAAGGAUUGAUUCUAAUACUUCAUAACAAAGUGAACAUCCUGCUGUAGUUUAAAAAUCAACUUGUGCUUCUUGACGUGUCUGUUUCUCCCUCCUUUUUUGGUGAAACCAUUCUCUUUGCUUGGACCGUAGAUGGAUUACAACAGUACUAUUUUAAGUUUCAGGGCAGUCAUUCCCGAGUUAAUAGGAACAUAGGAUGCUGCCUUAUUCCAUAUCAGGCCACUGGUCCAUCUAACUCAGUAUAGUCUACACUGACUGGUAGCAGCUUCCCCAGGAUUUCAAACAGGAGACUUUGCAGCCCUACCUGAAGAUGCUGGGGAUUGAAACUGGAAGCUUCUGCAUGCAAGGCAGAUGCUCUACCACUGAACUGUGGCUCUAUGCUAUGUAUGCUCCCCCCCCUUGAUUUGUGGACUGUAAUUUUCAGUGACAGUCUUAGUGGCUUUUAGAAGAACAAGUGCCGGCAAGCAACAUCCCUUCCAACAGAUGCUGCCUCAUCUGACUAUAGCCUAAUGACUGUAGCAUCUGGCAGAACUGAGGAUACAGUAAAUCCUAAUGGUGUUUCAUCUAUUAUUUAAAAUAGAUUGGGAGACAUGGCAAAGGCAGCUGUGCCAUACUCUGCAUUGCUUUGCUGCCUAAUGCCUUAGAAGGGAUGUGUUAAUUUUACAGCACUGUUCAUAUGUGGAACUGGGGUAUCUUGCACCUGUUGACCCUUUUAUGGGGAACUGUGCAUGUGAAUGGCACGUUGUGGUACGGAUCUUUCCAUCAAUUUCAGUAGGCUACUUCACCUUUGUAUGGCCUGCAUUACAAUUUCCAUAGAGACUGAACUAUUGCUGUAGGUACCCCCCCACACUUUUUUGCAUUGGGUAAGCAGCGGGCACCUUAAACCUGUCGCAGACUGGUCUCUUGAUUCUGGUUUCUGGAGAAUUGUUGCAAGUCAGUGUAGACAAUACUGAAGAAAUGGUCUGACUUGGUAAAAGGUAACUUCCUUUGUGUCUUAUAAAUACAACACAAAACACAACAUUUAUAAAGCAGAAAGCCUAUGUGAGGGAGGACACAUAAAUCGUUAGAGCCUGACAUUUUCCCAUCAAAAAUGAUUUGAUUUAUAAGUAUCCUUCAUGUCGUCAAAAUGUCUUUUCUCCAAAAUGUUCCCUUUUUAAUUUAGCCUAUGCUACAAAGUAAGCUGCCAAAUAAAGGACAUCUCUCUUUAGCAAAGAGCCCUGAAAGAACAUUGACAAAUUAUACCCUAGCAUUAGUAAUUCAAUUAUUGGGCUCCAAUAGAUGCAAUAACAGGGAAUGCAGAUGUAAUUUUGAGACAUCGGUCUUUUUCUAGCAGUCCUCGGCACCUGUUUGUUUUUGUACAGUGCUGUUAAGUAUUGACAAAUUGUUUUAUAGACAUUGAUGUAUGUUGCCCCUGUGAAAAUAUUACUGUAGCGUACAUUGCCUUUCUCAAAUCCAAAAUGGAUUUCUGAGCCACAGAAAAUGUUCUUCCUCAUUGGAGGGAAAGUGGUUGCUGUUCCUCGACAGCACACAUGAAGUUCUGAAGUACAUGUGAAUGUACAUGGCCUUUCAUUCUGUUUUAUUGAUGAAAUAAGCUAUAUUGCCGUCAUGUUGUGGCCUGAUGCAAGAUCUCAUAGAGAAGGGGGCAAGGCUGGUCAGAAGUUGCAGGAUGACAGAUAGCUUUGAGUGAGCAAGUUGGUCCGACAAAGACUGAGAGCAAACUGAGCCUUUUGAAGCUCCUGCUCUCAGACUAUGUCUCUCAGGAUGUGUCCCCCCUAGGCCAUGCCUUGUGGUGCUUAAAGAGCCAACCCUUCUGCCUGAAGAUGGGCAUUCCUCUGUCAUCUAGUCUCUUGCCUCAUGUACUCCCUGUACAGCUGAGUGCAGGCAGUGCACAACACAAGAGACUAGCUGAGGCUCUGUGCUCUGGCCCAACAGAUACAGGAGGUUCUUAUAGAGGCUCAUGUUACUCAGCCUCCUUUGUUUUCUGAUCCGAAGCAGCAGACCCAGAACCUUGCACCUUAUUUUGCUUCAUAGCUUGAAAGACUGCAGCCACUGACUCUUGAGGUCAUAGCAAUUGUUGGACUCUGAGGUCAUAACAAUUAAGUUGCAUUGUGUGCUCAGUGGCUGAAUUUAUCCUGGGAUUGUUGGAUGCUAAUUUCUGGUCUCAAGGAUCUUGAGAAUUUAUUCUUUUAUAAAGUAUUUUUUAUGACAAUGAAGACAAGAGCAUUAGGACAUUUGUCUGUAUCUUAUCCCAGUUAAUUAGUAUGAAGGUCUGUAUGUUCCACAGAAGUAGCUAUGUUAGACUUUUGCAGCAAUAGAGUCUACAGUGUGCUAGUAUUUUAAAGUGUGUGUUAUGAAACUGGCAUUUAUUCUGAAUGGUGCAGUUCAAAUUUUGUCUGCUUAUCCUUAUUACAAGAAUGUGUUAGUUAAAAAGUUAUUGGUUACAUUAAUGAAUUUACGUGAUAGUUUUUUGUAAGUUACUUUUUGUAAGUUACUGGAGACUUGUAAAAAGAGCAGAUAUACAUAAUAAAUAACAGCAAAAUAACAGAAUAGAUUAUGAAAUUUGAGAGUAGAGGAUUCUCAUUCAUUUUAGGACUCUGUUUAUGCUGCAAAUUUUAACUUAUUAUGGCAGAACAUGCUUGCAGGGUUCCAGCUUGUCUUGCAUUCUGAAGAAUUUACCUAGUAGCUCAGAGGUUCCCAAACGGUGGUCCACAAAGUUCAUUCUGGUGAUCUGGUGAUGUGUCUGUGAAGAACAGGGGCAGCAGCAACUAUUCUGUAAUUCUAAGAACCUCUUGGUCCACCUGAAAGGUGAGCAGGAUGGACCAGAGGUUAUGGGGACAUGAAGCAACUUGAAAGGAGGGGAAAGGAUUAGAAGGAAGAGAUGAUGAUGAUGAUGAUGAUGAUAGAAGCAAUAAAAAUAAAAUUAAAACCCAUAGAACGUCUAGCACAAUCACUACAAAUGGCAGAAAAAUCAGUAAGCGGCACACCAAGGUGUUCAGGAAUUCUCAAGUGGCCCUCACAGAAAAUGAUUGGGAACUACUUGUGGUAGGUUGUUAUUUGCAGUUUUAACUCAUGUGUAAGCACCGUGGCUGAAAUUCACCCAGCAGAUUUAUAAAACUCAAAAUACAGUUGAUUCUCUACUCAGGAUAAAUGGAAGGAUGUACAGAUUAAAGCUGAACAUGUGAAAUGCAAACAUAAAAUAAAACAACAAAUAUCAGUGGUGUAGUGAUUGCAUUAAAACAUCAGUCAAAAGCAACCUAUGCAACAUUAAAUGAAGAAUGUUUUCCCCCCAUCAACUUUAGAAUUUCAUUCAUAGUGUGUUUUGCUCAGUGUGUACAAUUGUGUGUUUUUAAACAACAAAAUAAAACAAAAACACGGCCUAUUAUCCAGUGUUAGCAUAAAGAACCAUGUACUUUGCUUAAAAUGCACUUAAAUGUUCUUCACAUCAAACAACAACAACAACAAUAACACACAUUCUUGUAGUUUUGUGUGUGGCUGGUUAUAGUUGAUAAGUUUGCCAUCCAGAAUUCCUCUAGAGACAGCUUCUCAGUCUGUGAAUGUUUUUAGGAAAGGUUUGUGUUUAUGUGAGUGUAAUAGUGAAGAAAGCCAUUCAACAGAGAUGAAUGCAUCAAUAGGAAACUUUAUGGGAAGCCAAAACUUUGCUGUUCAAUGGACUUUUGUGAGCAGUGACCCUCUUUUAAAGAGCAGUGACAUGUGGGACAAGUUGGCAUGGGAACGGUACAGCAGUGUCAAGUGAGAAUUUGCAGAGGGACAGAAUGCCUCUGCUCCUUUAAGCGAGAAUUUUGCAGACGUAUGUCAGGGAUUGGAGUAUGAGAGGGAAAAACACAGGCUACUCAAGCUUGAUCUGUGGGGAACUGCAGUUGCUGCUUUCCUUGAGAGCACAGGGGAAAAAAGUUAAAAAUUAUGC